ensembl:lncRNA
GUCUACUCUCUGGUUGCAUGUGUGGCACACAAAUUGGAAUAAUCCUGCUGGCUGAGAGCUGUGGCACACUGACUUGGAAGACACCUCUACUCUUCUAGCUGUGGCACACCAACCCUGAGGCCUCCUCUGUGGUUGGAGCUGUGGCACGCUUACUUGGAAUACUUCUCCUGGCUUGGAACUAUGGCAUGCACACCUUGAUAUCUCCUCUGGUCUGCGAGCCGUGGCACGCUGACCCUGAGGGCUAAUCUGUGGUUUCAUUUUGGGCACGCAAACUGGAAUAAUCCUGCUGGCUGAGAGCUGUGGCACCCUGGCCUGGAAGACUCCUCGGGGCUUCAAUCUGUUGCACGCUGACCCUGAGGCCUCCUCUGCAGUUGGAGCUGUGGCACGCCUACUGGCAAUACUCCUCCUGGCUUGGAACUAUGGCAAGCUGAACUGGAUGUAUCCUCUGCGCUCUGAGCCAUUGCACGCUGACCCCGAGGUCUCCUCUGUGGUUGGAUCUGUUGCACGCAGGUUGGAAUACUGAUGGCUGGGAGCUGUGGCAUGCUGAUCUGGAUGUAUCCUCUGGUCUGCGAGCCUUGGCACACUGAUCCCGAGGUCUACUCUCUGGUUGCAUGUGUGGCACACAAAUUGGAAUAAUCCUGCUGGCUGAGAGCUGUGGCACACUGACUUGGAAGACACCUCUACUCUUCUAGCUGUGGCACACCAACCCUGAGGCCUCCUCUGUGGUUGGAGCUGUGGCACGCUUACUUGGAAUACUUCUCCUGGCUUGGAACUAUGGCAUGCACACCUUGAUAUCUCCUCUGGUCUGCGAGCCGUGGCACGCUGACCCUGAGGGCUAAUCUGUGGUUUCAUUUUGGGCACGCAAACUGGAAUAAUCCUGCUGGCUGAGAGCUGUGGCACCCUGGCCUGGAAGACUCCUCGGGGCUUCAAUCUGUUGCACGCUGACCCUGAGGCCUCCUCUGCAGUUGGAGCUGUGGCACGCCUACUGGCAAUACUCCUCCUGGCUUGGAACUAUGGCAAGCUGAACUGGAUGUAUCCUCUGCGCUCUGAGCCAUUGCACGCUGACCCCGAGGUCUCCUCUGUCGUUGGAUCUGUUGCACGAAGGUUGGAAUACUGCUGGCUGAGAGCUGUGGCACGCUAACCUGGAUGUAUCCUCUGGUCUGCGAGCCUUGGCACCCUGAUCCUUAGGUCUAAUCUCUGUUUGCAUGUGUGGCACACAAAUUGGAAUAAUCCUUCUGGUUGAGAGCUGUGGCACCCUGACCUGGAAGACUCCUUGGGGCUUCGAUCUAUUGCACGCUGACCCUGAGGCCUCUUCUGUGGUUGGAGCUGUUUCACGCCUACUGGGAAUACUCCUCCUGGCUUGGAACUCUGGCAUGCACACCUUGAUGUCUCCUCUGGGCUGCGAGCCAUGGCACACUGAUCCCGAGGUCUACUCUCUGGUUGCAUCCGUGGCACACAAAUUGGAAUAAUCCUGCUGGCUGAGAGCUGUGGCACGCUGACCUGGAUGUAUCCUCUGGUCUGCGAGCCUUGGCACCCUGAUCCUUAGGUCUAAUCUCUGGUUGCAUCUGUGGCACACAAAUUGGAAUAAUCCUGUUGACUGAGAGCUGUGGCACGCUGACGUGGAAGACUCCUCUGCUCUUCGAGCUGUGGCACACCAACCCUGAGGCCUCCUCUGUGGUUGGAGCUGUGGCACACCUACUGUGACUACUCCUCCUUUCUGGGAGCUAUGGCAUGGUCAUCUGGAUGUCUUCUGUGGGCUGCGAGCUGUGGCACGCUGAGCCUGAAGGCCUACUCUGUGGUUGGCUUUGUUGCACGCAUAUUGGAGUACUGCAGGCUGAGAGCUGUGGCACGCAGAUCUGGAUGUCUCCACUGGGAGGUGAGCCAUAGCAUGCUGACCUCGAGUUCUCCUCUGUGCUUGGAUGUGUUGCACGCAGGUUGGAAUACUGCUGGCUGAGAGCUGUGGCAUGCUGAUCUGGAUGUAUCCUCUGGUCUGCGAGCCUUGGCACACUGAUCCCGAGGUCUACUCUCUGGUUGCAUCUGUGGCACACAUUGGAAUAAUCCCGCUGGCUGAGAGCUGUGGCACCCUGACCUGGAAGGCUCGUCGGGGCUUCGAUCUGUUGCACGCUGACCCCGAGUUCUCCUCUGUGGUUGGAUCUGUUGCACGCAGGUUGGAAUACUGAUGGCUGGGAGCUGUGGCAUGCUGAUCUGGAUGUAUCCUCUGGUCUGCGAGCCUUGGCACACUGAUCCCGAGGUCUACUCUCUGGUUGCAUGUGUGGCACACAAAUUGGAAUAAUCCUGCUGGCUGAGAGCUGUGGCAUGCUGACUUGGAAGACAACUCUACUCUUCGAGCUGUGGCACACCAACCUUGAGGCCUCCUCUGUGGUUGGAGCUGUGGCACGCCUACUUGGAAUACUUCUCCUGGCUUGGACCUAUGGCCUGCACACCUUGAUAUCUCCUCUGGUCUGCGAGCCGUGGCACGCUGACCCUGAGGGCUAAUCUGUGGUUUCAUUUUUGGCAUGCAAACUGGAGUAAUCCUGCUGGCUGAGAGCUGUGGUACCCUGGCCUGGAAGACUCCUCGGGGCUUCCAUCUGUUGCACGCUGACCCUGAGGCCUCUUCUGUGGUUGGAGCUGUGGCUCGCCUACUGGCAAUACUCCUGCUGGCUUGGAGCUAUGGCAAGCUGAACUGAAUGUAUCCUCUGUGCUGUGAGCCAUGGCACGCUGACCCCGAGGUCUCCUCUGUCAUUGGAUCUGUUGCACACAGAUUGGAAUGCUGCUGGCUGAGAGCUGUGGCACGCUGACCUGGAUGUAUCCUCUGGUCUGCGAGCCUUGGCACACUGAUCCCGAGGUCUAUUCUCUGUUUGCAUGUGUGGCACACAAAUUGGGAUAAUCCUUCUGGUUGAGAGCUGCGGGACCCUGACCUGGAAGACUCCUUGGGGCUUUGAUCUGUUGCACGCUGACCCUGAGGCCUCUUCUGUGGUUGGAGCUGUUUCACGCCUACUGGGAAUACUCCUCCUGGCUUGGAACUCUGGCAUGCACACCUUGAUGUCUCCUCUGGGCUGCGAGCCAUGGCACACUGAUCCUGAGGUCUACUCUCUGGUUGCAUCCGUGGCACACAAAUUGGAAUAAUCCUGCUGGCUGAGAGCUGUGGCACGCUGACUUGGAAGACUCCUCUGCUCAGCGAGCUGUGGCACACCAACCCUGAGGCCUCCUCUGCAGUUGGCGCUGUGGCACGCCUACUGGGAAUACUGCUCCUUGCUGGGAGCUAUGGCAUGGUCAUCUGGAUGUCUCCUCUGGGCUGCGAGCUGUGGCAUGCUGACCCUGAGGCCUACUCUGUGGUUGGAGAUGUUGCACGCAGAUUGGAAUCCUGCUGGCUGAGAGCUGUGGCAUGCUGAUCUGGAUGUAUCCUCUGGUCUGCGAGCCUUGGCACACUGAUCCUGAGGUCUACUCUUUGAUUGCAUCUGUGGCAAACAAAUUGGAAUAAUCCUUCUGGUUGAGAGCUGUGGCACGCUGACCUGGAAGACU